rnacentral:rRNA from 1 species
CGGUGAGAAGUACGCGCACAGGCAAGGCCUGAAGCGGCGAAUAAACCUUCAAACUGGAAUUGGGUCGGCGAGCCCUUCUUCAUGACAACGUCGAGUCGGGCUCUUGGGUGCACCCUGCUAUGAUCGCCGCACUAAGUCGGCAGUUAUCACUGCAGUCCACGCCAAGAGCCCUGACUCUUCUAUUCAAGAAUAAACAUCAUGCGCCAGGAAAGAUUUAUCGCUUUCGGAGAAUCCUGCGUCCUAUCAGCUAGUUGGUGAGGUAAUAGCUCACCAAGGCUACGACGGGUAGGGGGUGUGAGAGCAUGACCCCCAACAUUGGCACUGCGACACUGGCCAAACACCUACGGGUGGCUGCAGUCGAGAAUCUUCGGCAAUGCACGAAAGUGUGACCGAGCGACGCUGCGUGCAGGAAGAAGGCCUUCGGGUUGUAAACUGCUGUUCUUGGGGAAGAACUUUGACGGUACCCAAGCAGAAAGGGGCGCCUAAUCUCGUGCCAGCAGGCGCGGUAAUACGAGAGCCCCGAGCGUUGUCCGAAAUAACUGGGCGUAAAGCAUCCGCAGAUGGAAUAGUGCGUCUACUGUUAAAUCCUACGGCUCAACCGUGGUGACUGCAGUGGAUACGGCUAUUCUAGAGGCACGGAGAGGUGAGUGGAACUCCUGGUGGAGUGGUAAAAUGCGUUGAUAUCAGGGGGAACACCAAUUGCGAAGGCAGCUCACUGGUCGUGUCCUGACAUUCACAGGAUGAAAGCGUGGGGAGCGAAGGGGAUUAGAUACCCCCGUAGUCCACGCCGUAAACGAUGUCGACUAGGCAUUGGAGGUAUCGACCCCUUCAGUGUCGAAGCUAACGCGUUAAGUCGAUCGCCUGGGUAGUACGAGCGCAAGCUUAAAACUCAAAGGAAUAGACGGGGGCUCGCACAAGUGGUGGAGCGUGUGGUUUAAUUCGAUGCUAAGCGGGGAACCUUACCAGGGCUAGAAAUCUGGCUGCAUACGACCCGAAAGGGACGUAGCCUUCGAGGGUGCCAGACAGGUGUUGCAUGGUUGCCGUCAGCUCGUGUCAUGAGAUGUUCCCUUCAGUGGGGUAACGAGCGCAACCCUCAUUGCAUGUUACUUUUCAUGUGAGACUGCCAUGGUCAACACGGAGGAAGGUGGGGACGACGUCAAAUCAGCAUGACCCUAGACGCCCUGGGCGACACACGCGCUACAAUGGCUGGGACAAUGAGCUUAUUGCCAACCCGCGAGGGGGAGCGAAUCUCUAAACCCAGUCUCAGUUCGGAUUGGAGGCUGCAACUCGCCUCCAUGAAGUUGGAAUCACUAGUAACCGCGGAUCAGCCAUGCCGCGGUGAAUACGUUCUCGGGCUUUGUACUCACCGCCCGUCAACUCAGAAGAGCUGACAGUACCUGAAGCUCCCGGAUUUUAUAUUUGGGAACCACGGUAAGGUCAGUGAUUAGGAGUAAGUCGUAACAAGGCAUCGCUAGGGGAACCUGGCGAUG